rnacentral:rRNA from 1 species
UACAGAGGUCUCGAGCGUUAGGCGGAAUCACUGGGCUUAAAGCGUGUGUAGGCGGGUCGUUAAGUACCUUGUGAAAUCCCACGGCUUAACUGUGGAACGGCUUGGUAUACUGGCGAUCUUGAGCCACUUAGGGGCUACCGGAACAGAUGGUGGAGCGGUGAAAUGCGUAGAUAUCAUCUGGAACGCCAAUGGUGAAAACAGGUAGCUGGGAGUGUGCUGACGCUGAGACACGAAAGCCAGGGGAGCGAACGGG